UCUCAGGUCAGAGAUGAAGCUAAGAGCAGAAGAGUUCUUGAAGAAUUCUUCCUCAGAGAUUCU
rnacentral:misc_RNA from 1 species